GGAGCCAGCCACGCCACCAUGCUGCCUGGCAGGAGCAGUGGAUCAGAGCACUGGCAGUGCAGUGGGCUGAGGCUGCAGGGGAGGGGGACAGGGAGAAGGGCUGGGGGCUGGGGGCUCGCCUCCCCAGCCGAGAGCUCAGGGGCAAGGCAGGACGUGGGCCGGAUGUGGCCUGUGGGCUGUAGUUUACCCACCUCUGUUCUGUACAGAAACUAAGAUCCCAUUUGUUCCUUAGCUGAACAUGCAACAAUCAGACACUAGAUGGUGCCAAGAGACCAUCUGGAAAAAAGAAAAUGAAAUCUGAGUGCAGGAAGUUGUAAUCAAGAUUAGAAAGAGUCUGAGAACCAAAGAAUAAUCACAAAGGGCACAGUUCUGAUUUCAUCAGGAUUAUUCACAGAGUACAGACCCUUGGCUCAUUGAGUGUACAAGAUGGACAAAUGGGACUAUAACUUAUCGCAGCUCCCAUUGGCCACAGUUCCCAGCCAAUGGGAGCUGCGGAGACAGCACCCGGGGCGGAAGCAGCGCAUGAAGACACCGCCACCUCAGGGGCCACAGGGACAUGCCGGCCACUUCUGGGAGCAGCGCGGAGGGAGGUAGGGAGGGAGGCAGAGCAGGCAGGGAGCUGCUUUAGCCCUGCUGCACUGUUGCUGGCACACCUCUGCAUGCCCCUUGUGGGGAGGAAGUAGGGUGACCAGACAGCACGUGUGAAAAAUCGGGACGGGGGUAGGGGGUAAUAGGAGCCUAUAUAAG